ACGCUUGACACCUACGGGAGUCAGCAGUGGGGAAUAUUGCACAAUGGGGGAAACCCUGAUGCAGCGACGCCGCGUGGAGGAAGAAGGUCUUCGGAUUGUAAACUCCUGUUGUUGGGGAAAAAGAGGAUGGUACCCAACAAGGAAGUGACGGCUAACUACGUGCCAGCAGCCGCGGUAAUCUGAGCGGGCUGGCAAGGC
rnacentral:rRNA from 1 species